rnacentral:lncRNA from 1 species
CUUGGAGCGAAAAAUGUUUGAAAGAAGUAGCCAAAAAAGGUUGGACGUAUAAAUUCAAACUUAUGAACGGUGAAAUUUAUGUAUUCUUUUUUUUCUUCGGUUUACAUGGAUUGAUUCAUUUUUUAUUAGUGUAUAGGAAUGUUAUUGUACUAGCUAAUAGUACAUAGCUGAUGGUACAUGAGAUUGUUUUGAUACUUUUGUUAAUGAACGGUGGAGAAUUUAUUGUAAUAGUUGAUGGUAUAUAGAUUUUCUUUUUAUACUUUGGGUUUCAUCAUGGAGAAUUCAUUGC